rnacentral:rRNA from 1 species
UACGUAUGGUGCGAGCGUUGCCCGGAUUUACUGGGCGUGAAGGGGGCGCAGGCGGCGCGCCAAGCCCGAUGUGAAAGCCCGGGGCUCAACCCCGGGACUGCAUUGGGAACUGGCGUGCUGGAGUGCCGGAGGGGCAGGCGGAAUUCCUGGUGUAGCGGUGAAAUGCGUAGAUAUCAGGAGGAACACCGGUGGCGAAGGCGGCCUGCUGGACGGAUACUGACGCUGAGGCCCGAAAGCGUGGGGAGCGAACAGG